AUGGAGAAAUAUUUAUUGAUCAGCAUAAUUAUAUCAGGUGUGUUUUCUGACAGUAUUGGACCAAAUGAAGCAGAUAAGAGUAUAACCAGGAAAGAAGAAGAGUCUGUGACAUUGAGAUGCUCAUAUGAUACAAGCAGCAGUAAUAUCUUACUUUACUGGUACAGACAGUAUACAAACCGAGAACCUGAGUAUUUAUUGUAUGAAGGUGUUCGAUCAUACAGCGGAGCUGCUGAUACACGAGAUAGUCGGUUUCAGUCGGCUACAUCCCAAACUACCACUGAACUCACUAUUAAGAGUGCAACUCUGUCAGAUUCAGCUCACUAUUACUGUGCUCUACGAGUAGUAGCCCAGUGA